rnacentral:SRP_RNA from 1 species
GCCGGGCAUGGUGGCGCAUGCCUGUAGUCCCAGCUACUCAGGAGGCUGAGGCAGGAGAAUCGCUUGAACCCGGGAGGCGGAGGUUGCAGUGAGCCAAGAUCAUGCCACUGCACUCCAGCCUGGGCAACAGAGCAAGACUCCGUCUCAA